GGGAGGAAAGAAGGACAGAGAGCCUGCUUGCUUUAAAGGAGCCAACUCUCCCGCUUUGCUCCUUUAAAGCAAGCAGGCUCUCUGUCCCUCUCUCCUCCC
rnacentral:miRNA from 1 species